GGCCGCGGGAAUUCGAUUCAGGCCUAACACAUGCAAGUCGAGCGGAGAUGAGGUGCUUGCACCUUAUCUUAGCGGCGGACGGGUGAGUAAUGCUUAGGAAUCUGCCUAUUAGUGGGGGACAACAUUCCGAAAGGAAUGCUAAUACCGCAUACGUCCUACGGGAGAAAACAGGGGAUCUUCGGACCUUGCGCUAAUAGAUGAGCCUAAGUCGGAUUAGCUAGUUGGUGGGGUAAAGGCCUACCAAGGCGACGAUCUGUAGCGGGUCUGAGAGGAUGAUCCGCCACACUGGGACUGAGACACGGCCCAGACUCCUACGGGAGGCAGCAGUGGGGAAUAUUGGACAAUGGGGGGAACCCUGAU
rnacentral:rRNA from 1 species